AUUGAACGCUAGCGGGAGGCUUUACACAUGCAAGUCGAACGAGUGGCGGACGGGUGAGUAAUAUCUGGGAACCUGCCCGGUAGCGGGGGAUAACUACUCGAAACGGUAGCUAAUACCGCAUACCAUCGGAGCGGCCCAUAUCGGAUUAGCUAGUUGGUGGGGUAAAGGCUCACCUAGGCGACGAUCCCUAGCUGGUUUGAGAGGACGACCAGCCACACUGGGACUGAGACACGGCCCAGACUCCUACGGGAGGCAGCAGUGGGGAAUUUUGGACAAUGGGGGAAACCCUGAUGCAGCCAUCCCGCGUGUAUGAGAAGGCCUUCGGGUUGUAAAGUACUUUUGGCAGAGAAGCGGUAUCUGCAGAAGAAGCACCGGCUAACUCCGUGCCAGCAGCCGCGGUAAUUC
rnacentral:rRNA from 1 species